rnacentral:siRNA from 1 species
GACCAAAACCGCACUCAAAACCGC